CCGCCGGCGACCGGCGCACGGGUGGGGUAACACGUAUGCAACCUGGCCGUGACAGAUGGAUAACCGGGAGAAAUCCCGCCUAAUACAACAUAAUGCCGGGAGGGGACAUCCCCUGCCGGCCAAAGGGGGCGACCCCGGUCACGGAUGGGCAUGCGGCGCAUUAGGUAGUUGGUGGGGCAACGGCCCACCAAGCCGACGAUGCGUAGGGGUUCUGAGAGGAAGGUCCCCCACAUUGGAACUGAGACACGGUCCAAACUCCUACGGAAGGCAGCAG
rnacentral:rRNA from 1 species